AUGAACGCUGGCGGCGUGCCUAAUACAUGCAAGCCGAGCGAACAGACGAGGAGCUUGCUCCUCUGACGUUAGCGGCGGACGGGUGAGUAACACGUGGAUAACCUACCUAUAAGACUGGGAUAACUUCGGGAAACCGGAGCUAAUACCGGAUAAUAUAUUGAACCGCAUGGUUCAAUAGUGAAAGACGGUUUUGCUGUCACUUAUAGAUGGAUCCGCGCCGCAUUAGCUAGUUGGUAAGGUAACGGCUUACCAAGGCAACGAUGCGUAGCCGACCUGAGAGGGUGAUCGGCCACACUGGAACUGAGACACGGUCCAGACUCCUACGGGAGGCAGCAGUAGGGAAUCUUCCGCAAUGGGCGAAAGCCUGACGGAGCAACGCCGCGUGAGUGAUGAAGGUCUUCGGAUCGUAAAACUCUGUUAUUAGGGAAGAACAAAUGUGUAAGUAACUAUGCACGUCUUGACGGUACCUAAUCAGAAAGCCAGGGCUAACUACGUG
rnacentral:rRNA from 1 species